AGGUUUAGUGUGGAGAACUAUAAUCAUGCUGCUCUAUCUGACAGUGUAGAGAACUAUAAUCAUGCUGCUCUAUCUGACAGUAUAGAGAACUGUAAUCAUGCUGCUCUAUCUGACAGUAUAGAGAACUGUAAUCAUGCUGCUCUAUCUGACAGUGUAGAGAACUGUAAUCAUGCUGCUCUAUCUGACAGUAUAGAGAACUGUAAUCAUGCUGCUCUAUCUGACAGUGUAGAGAACUAUAAUCAUGCUGCUCUAUCUGACAGUAUAGAGAACUGUAAUCAUGCUGCUCUAUCUGACAGUAUAGAGAACUGUAAUCAUGCUGCUCUAUCUAACAGUGUAGAGAACUAUAAUCAUGCUGCUCUAUCUGACAGUAUAGAGAACUAUAAUCAUGCUGCUCUAUCUGACAGUGUAGAGAACUAUAAUCAUGCUGCUCUAUCUAACAGUGUAGAGAACUAUAAUCAUGCUGCUCUAUCUGACAGUAUAGAGAACUAUAAUCAUGCUGCUCUAUCUGACAGUAUAGAGAACUAUAAUCAUGCUGCUCUAUCUGACAGUAUAGAGAACUGUAAUCAUGCUGCUCUAUCUGACAGUGUAGAGAACUAUAAUCAUGCUGCUCUAUCUGACAGUGUAGAGAACUAUAAUCAUGCUGCUCUAUCUGACAGUAUAGAGAACUAUAAUCAUGCUGCUCUAUCUGACAGUGUAGAGAAUUGUAAUCAUGCUGCUCUAUCUGACAGUAUAGAGAACUGUAAUCAUGCUGCUCUAUCUGACAAUAUAGAGAAUUGUAAUCAUGCUGCUCUAUCUGACAGUGUAGAGAACUGUAAUCAUGCUGCUCUAUCUGACAGUAUGGAGAACUGUAAUCAUGCUGCUCUAUCUGACAGCGUAGAGAACUGUAAUCAUGCUGCUCUAUCUGACAGUGUAGAGAACUAUAAUCAUGCUGCUCUAUCUGACAGUGUAGAGAACUGUAAUCAUGCUGCUCUAUCUGACAGUAUAGAGAACUAUAAUCAUGCUGCUCUAUCUGACAGUAUGGAGAACUAUAAUCAUGCUGCUCUAUCUGACAGUGUAGAGAACUAUAAUCAUGCUGCUCUAUCUGACAGUGUAGAGAACUAUAAUCAUGCUGCUCUAUCUGACAGUAUAGAGAACUGUAAUCAUGCUGCUCUAUCUGACAGUAUAGAGAACUGUAAUCAUGCUGCUCUAUCUGACAGUAUAGAGAACUGUAAUCAUGCUGCUCUAUCUGACAGUAUAGAGAACUGUAAUCAUGCUGCUCUAUCUGACAGUAUAGAGAACUGUAAUCAUGCUGCUCUAUCUGACAGUGUAGAGAACUAUAAUCAUGCUGCUCUAUCUGACAGUAUAGAGAACUAUAAUCAUGCUGCUCUAUCUGACAGUGUAGAGAACGUCUGA
rnacentral:lncRNA from 1 species